rnacentral:lncRNA from 1 species
AGCCGAGGCUUGUUGUUCUAAGAUGUCGUCCUCAUCAACACCCGGUAAAUGGGGAGUACUAGCUCUUUGGGAUUCAAGAACCCUUUGAAGUGAAACCUCAAUUGAAUCGAGUCGGGCAUUAACCUGGGUGGACAUUGUGGUUAGGUCAUGAAUUUGGGCGUUGUUUGCUUGGACUUGGGCAUUCGUGUUUUGGACUUGAAUAUUAGUUUUUUGAACUUGGGCAUUAGUGUUUUGGACUUGAUCAUUAGUGUCGUGGAUAGCUUUUAAUAGGGCUUCAAUUUUGGAAUCCAUGUCUAGGGGAAACUCAAGAUGAGAUGCGACACGACCACUACGUAGAUGCAUAAAAUGAAUGACAAAAUGUAUUAGCCGACCAACUAUAAAGGUUCCUAAGUAGACCUAAUGCAUGAAAUGAAUUCACAAUUGCAAAGUAGAUGCUCAAUAUAAACUAAAACUACUCCCUAGCAAAUAGUUAUUGCAAACUGAAAAUUAAUA